rfam:Gossypium arboreum cultivar AKA8401 contig_137_1, whole genome shotgun sequence.
UGUUAAAAAAUUCAUCUAUUUCUACUGUUAAAAAUUGGCAUGGAUGACCCAAUAACUAAACAAUGACAUAUGGCAUGCCACAUGUACCUCAUGCUGACACAGAGAGCAGUUUUUAGAAGUAGAAAUGGAUGAGAUUUUUACAA